GACAGAGGGGGCAAGCGUUGCUCGGAAUUACUGGGCGUAAAGGGCGCGUAGGCGGGAUGGCAAGUCGGUCGUGAAAUCCUUCGGCUCAACCGAAGAACGUCGAUCGAUACUGCUGUUCUUGAGGGUUGCAGAGGAGACUGGAAUUCCCGGUGUAGCGGUGAAAUGUGUAGAGAUCGGGAGGAACACCCGUGGCGAAGGCGGCCAGCUGGGCCGUCCCUGACGCUGAGGCGCGAAGGCGUGGGGAGCGAACGGG
rnacentral:rRNA from 1 species